ensembl:lncRNA
CUUCAUCACAGAGCUUGCCCGUGGCGGGGCUGUGCAGGUCAGCCGCGGGUGGUGGAGGUGGAGCUGGUGGUGGAGGUGGAGCUGGAGGUGGAGCUGGAGGUGGAGCUGGAGCUGGAGGUGGAGGUGGAGGUGGAGCUGGAGGUGGACAGGGGCUGGGAGGGACCUGACGGGGGCUUGGCGACUAGAGGCCCGUCAUCAUCGGAGGAGUUGUCCUCGGACGCUCCCAGGAUGAAGGCCAGUUUGGGCCGGGGACUCUUGAACGCCAUCAGGGGGGGGAGUGCGGUGGUCGGCCGGCUCUCGGCCUCCCCGCCGCCGGAGGUCUGCUCCGGGCGGGGGUCUCCUACCGCCGCUCCUGAGGCCCCUGGAGGCUGUGGAGCGGCACCUGUCGCCGCGCCGCCCACCUGAGAGCCGCGGUCCUCCGGGCCAGCGGGGGCAGCGGUGCUGCGUGGGGCGGCGGGCUGCUGGGGCUGUUCCUCCGGGCCAGGGGGGCGUGUGCGUCAGCGGGCAGCUCCUCGGGCACCGCAGCGGAGGCUUGUCCUCCUCCAGGCAUCCCUGCCGUGGCCUCGGGGUGCGACCGCCAGCGUAGGAACAAGAGCACGAGCGCGACUAAUCCCAGCAGGGCGAGAGGCAGCAUUCAACAGCAGCCGCUCUGUACUGCAUGGAGAGCGCAGAGACUGGAUCAGAUACAUGUGUUCACAGACUCUGAACGGACCUGUGUGUCUGCGUCCCAGCCUUCGAUGAGGGACUAUCUUCUGGGUCAGGGAGGGGGUUGGUCUGCUAACCUAGUGUGUGACUGCGGUGAUCUUCUAAGGGACUGGGAAACCGUUGAUAUGCGGCAGCUGACAGGAGAGCCUUGUGGGAUAAAGGUCAACACUUAGGCACGGGGGUGAGCUAGAGAUUAGUGGAGGUGGACCCAGCACAGAUAUGAGCC